rnacentral:rRNA from 1 species
UACGUAGGGGGCUAGCGUUGUCCGGAAUCAUUGGGCGUAAAGAGCGUGUAGGCGGUCCGGUAAGUCCGCUGUGAAAGUCGGGGGCUCAACCCUCGAAUGCCGGUGGAUACUGUCGGGCUAGAGUGCGGAAGAGGCGAGUGGAAUUCCUGGUGUAGCGGUGAAAUGCGCAGAUAUCAGGAGGAACACCUAUUGCGAAGGCAGCUCGCUGGGACGUAACUGACGCUGAGACGCGAAAGCUAGGGGGAGCGAACGGGG